AGUAGAAUUUCUGGAUUAUAUUGUAAAAAUGUAUUUAAUCUUGUGAGACUCUCUCAAGUUAUUUUCCAAAGUAGCUCUAUCAGUUUGCAUCCCUAACAGAAAU
rnacentral:pre_miRNA from 1 species